rnacentral:lncRNA from 1 species
CAAGCCUUGAUAUUACAGUACAAGUGCUUACAUUUACUUUUUAAGAUUAAAAAUUGGCAAAUAAUUGCCUUGAGAUGCAGAGCCCCAAAUGAAACAAGCUCUGUAGGACUGAUUUUACUAAAUGCGAGGUAAGCAAUGAUGUAAUUUUAAGGACGUUGAUGAGUGUAAUAAAGCAAUCUAAUCCUGAAGGGGUUGGGGGCUGCUUGUGUUUUUUUUUUUAAUUAUGUUUGUUUGUUUGUUUGUUUGUUUGUUUGUUUGUUUGUUUUCCAGAAAUCCCUAAGACAGAAGCUUUGCUGCUGUUCAGAAGCAUUUUCCCUGAGAACACAUCAGAUUGCCUAGCAUGGACAUGAAUAAUUGAAGAACACCAUCACGGCAGCAGUCCUCCCAAGGGGCUUUUCCAACACCUUGUUAUUAGCUGAUAUGCUGCCUAGACAACCUCAUGGGAGCCCAGACUGCGAUCCCCUACUAUGUCAAAGGGAAGGAAGCAAGCAUGACAGACAUGGGAUUACUUCAUUUGAUUCAUGGAAGGCCACAAGCACUUCAAAUUAACCUUUUGCUUCCUUGGGAAAAAAAAAUUU